rnacentral:rRNA from 1 species
GACGAACGCUGGCGGCGUGCUUAACACAUGCAAGUCGAGCGGUAAGGCCCUUUCGGGGGUACACGAGCGGCGAACGGGUGAGUAACACGUGGGUGACCUGCCCUCAGCUCUGGGAUAAGCCUGGGAAACUGGGUCUAAUACCGGAUAUGACCCCAUGACGCAUGUCGUGGGGUGGAAAGCCUUGUGCGGCUGAGGAUGGGCCCGCGGCCUAUCAGCUUGUUGGUGGGGUGAUGGCCUACCAAGGCGACGACGGGUAGCCGGCCUGAGAGGGCGACCGGCCACACUGGGACUGAGACACGGCCCAGACUCCUACGGGAGGCAGCAGUGGGGAAUCUUGCGCAAUGGGCGAAAGCCUGACGCAGCGACGCCGCGUGAGGGAUGAAGGUCUUCGGAUUGUAAACCCCUUUCGGGAGGGAAGAUGGAAUGGGUAACCCAUUCGACGGUACCUCCAGAAGCAGCCACGGCUAACUUCGUGCC